AGUUAAAUGGUUGAAAUUAUACGAAAAGUAUUUUUAGGUAAUUUUCACACAAGAAACUCAUAAUCGCUUGGUCACUGGUUCAAGUCCAGUAGGGGCCACCA
rnacentral:tRNA from 1 species